GGGCGCUUAGCUCAGCUGGGAGAGCAUCUGCCUUACAAGCAGAGGGUCGCAGGUUCGAUCCCUGCAGCGCCCA
rnacentral:tRNA from 2 species